CGCGGGGUGGAGCAAUGGUAGCUCGUCGGGCUCAUAACCCGGAGGUUGUCGGUUCGAAUCCGGCCCCCGCAA
rnacentral:tRNA from 1 species